rnacentral:rRNA from 1 species
AUUGAACGCUGGCGGCAGGCCUAACACAUGAAAGUCGAACGAGCGGAGGACGGGUGAGUAAUGUCGGGGAAACUGCCUGAUGGAGGGGGAUAACUACUGGAAACGGUAGCUAAUACAGAAUACCAUCAGAUGUGCCCAGAUGGGAGUAGCUAGUAGGUGGGGUAAUGGGUCACCUAGGCGACCAUCCCUACCUGGUCUGCGAGGAUGACCAGCGACACGGAAACUGAGACACGGUCCAGAGUCUUACGGGAGGCAGCAGUGGGGAAUAUUGCACCAUGGGCGCAAGCCUGAUGCAGCCAUGCCGCGUGUGUGAAGAAGGCCUUCGGGUUGUAAAGCACUUUCAGCGGGGAGGCGUUACCCUCAGAAUAAGCACCGGCUAACUCCGUGCCAGCCGCCGCGGUAAUAC